UGGGGAAUUUUGGACAAUGGGCGCAAGCCUGAUCCAGCCAUGCCGCGUGCGGGAAGAAGGCCUUCGGGUUGUAAACCGCUUUUGUCAGGGAAGAAAAGCUCCGGGCUAAUACCUCGGAGUCAUGACGGUACCUGAAGAAUAAGCACCGGCUAACUACGUGCCAGCAGCCGCGGUAAUACGUAGGGUGCAAGCGUUAAUCGGAAUUACUGGGCGUAAAGCGUGCGCAGGCGGCUUUGCAAGACAGAUGUGAAAUCCCCGGGCUUAACCUGGGAACUGCAUUUGUGACUGCAUGGCUGGAGUGCGGCAGAGGGGGAUGGAAUUCCGCGUGUAGCAGUGAAAUGCGUAGAUAUGCGGAGGAACACCGAUGGCGAAGGCAAUCCCCUGGGCCUGCACUGACGCUCAUGCACGAAAGCGUGGGGAGCAAACA
rnacentral:rRNA from 1 species